AUGAAGUGUCAGCUACCAUAGACACUAGGCAAGUGACUUUGUAUAAGAAAUGUUUGCUGUAAUUCAGAGGACUGUGUAAUUGUGUUAACAAGUUGCAGGAAACACUUCUGCAUCCUGAACUAGAACUGAGGGCCUGACCAUGCUAAGGUAUCGAACAGUGAGGGCCGGAUUAUUAACGCCAAUCACCCACCACAUGCAGCCGUAGUGUGCAAAUUCUGUAUUCCAAGCUCUUAACACUUUGAUUACAGUGGAUAGAAAUGAUGGAAAUGAAAAGCCCCGCUGCUGGCUAAACAUGAAGAAAUUUAGAGUUUAUGUAAAUCGUUGGCAUUAGGUGGGUUGUUUCUGAUGCAGCCUGUUCCACAUUGUGUCCUCAGGGUUGACCCAUAAUCACCAUGACUGAGAGAACGAGGUUGGUGAAUUUCAUCAGUCCUGUUUAAUUGGAUCCUUCGGCCAGAUUCAUCAAACUUCCAGUAAUGACAGCAGUUUCUCUUUUAUCAAGAGUUCAUGGGAGAUUAAAGGCCAAAACCCAUCUCAGAUGUUGUACCUGCUCAGUAUUUACUUCUGAGGCCCCAAGACUCUUCAAAGCCCAGUGACCCACUCCCAGCACAUUGCUGGUAUUUAUGAAGGCCACUUCAACACCUCCUGAGAACAGGAAAGGCCAUAAAUAAAUGGACAAGUAAAUAGGC